GGUUAUGAUGAUCAUUGCUUGUUCUGACACCUCUUGUUUGAGAAGGGCUACAUCAUGUCAGCACUUCUUUGAGCAGAGUAGCAAAUGUCUGAGCC